AUUUUAGAAAAAAAAACAACCAUUUUGUUUUUUUGUGGCUGUGGAGACUAUCUCUUGAAUCCAACUCCCAACAAACACACAACGUUGCCGUAACGUAGCGACCUUCCUACAACGUUGUACCAACCUUGCAAAAAGGUUGAGGAUUCUACGUUGUUGCUAAACGUUGUCACAACGAUGUCAUAAGGUUGCCAUUUAAACAUCACGAGGGCCGCAUACUUUAGGUUGUGCUUAGGUGGCGUGGACAACCACUGUACAACAUUUACUGGUCACAGCUGAAUCAGUUUAAAUUUCAACAAGCCGUCGUCUCAUUCAUCAACGACCGAGGAGACGCUAUUUUCACAUGGAGGAAAUCUUCUAUUGAUAAUUUCUGGGUUUUAAGUAUGUGUAAGUUGCAUAAAACUCUAUUGUUUAACCACUCACUGUUGUUUUCAAAUUCUUUAUGUAACUUGUCUUUCAGAAUUUUUUCAGCUGUUGAAUUCACCUCAGAUCAGUGUUGCUGUAAUUCCUGAUCUAUGGAAAGAAUAAUUGAAUGAGCGAGCAACGCCACAACUACAGGACCUCUUUCUCUUCUCAUAAUUUAACUGCGCUCCCCGGUCUGCUGUAUUCUCCAGUCCAGAGCUUCAUUGCCCAGUGUCUGAAUUUUAAUUUCUAUAUUUAUUUAUAUAUAUAUAUAUAUAUAUAUAUAUAUAUAUAUAUAUAUAUAUAUAUAUAUAUAUAUAUAUAUAUAUAUAUAUAUAUAUAUUUACAUUUUUAAUGAUUUCUUGUUUACUUUUCUUGUUUGUUUACCCUU
rnacentral:lncRNA from 1 species